AGUGGAUCAACAGAAAGGAAAUCACUUUACGCCGGCUGGUGAAUUUCAUUCUCCCCCGAAGUUCUAUUCUCCUGGAUUUCCUCAAGCUGAAUCCUUGAAUUUGAAGAAACAACCUAAUGACGGCCACACUAGUAUAUCUCCUGCGGAAAUUAAUUUUCCAUUUGCAGAGCAUAUGCAAACGAAUCUUGUGCCUGUACCUACUUUGCAACAAAGUCCGAAGUCUAUGCCUAUGGAGAAUGUGUCUGUAGCUACCAAAAUAGAGUCUCCAAGGAGUGUAGAAAACAUAUUCGCUUUGGAAGAAUCAGUACCUGAAGCUGCGAUGACUGUUACCUUGGAAGAGGGUUUCCAUGACAUUGAACAGGAAGACGAGGAUGGACAUGAGGACAUCACAAGUCAGUAUGACGAGGAAGUGGCGAAGGCCAAGCUCAAGUUGAUCAUAAGGUCUAGCAGUUCAUGCAAGUUGAUUCUUGGUUUAUGUUACUUUUUGUUUAACUUUUCUUUUCUAAAAUCUUCACAGAUUAUGGAAGCGGUGGUCUUCACGUCAAAGUGAAUUGCGGGAGCGUCGACAGUUAGCUGCAGCUGCUGCACUGAAUUCUCUAACCCUGGGCACUCCUAUCAGACUCAGCAAAACUGAUGUAAGUUUCAGUUUCCUUCCCUGUAACAUGUGCUGAUCAGUGUCAAGGAGGCAAUAAAAGUCUUUAAGGCAUUUACUAUUGAGGUUGGUAGUCUAAUUUGGUUCUCGCUUCAUAUACAGCAAUCGAGAGCGUGUGGUGAGUUUGACAUUGAUCAAGCGAUGAAGAGGAGAUUUGAAGAACGGGAAAAAUCAUGGUCAAAACUGAAUAUUUCAGAUGUGAUAGCUGAUAUAUUAGUCGAAAGGAAUCCAGACUCAAAAUGCAUAUGGUGGAAGGUCAUCCUAUGUACUCAGAUUAAAUCAGUUGACUCAUCAAGUCAGGAUACACAUGCAGCAGCCAGUAGAUGGUUAUCAUCAAAGCUUAUCCCUGACACAGAACAUAGCAUCUCCGAUGAUAAUCUGCUGUUUGCAGCUCCCGGUGUGUCGGUAUGGAAUAAAUGGGUUGCAAGUGGGUCUGAUUCUGAUUCCAGAUGCUGUCUCUCGGUAACUAGAGAUGUGGAAUCUGAUCAUGAUCCACGUGGUGCAAGCGCAGUUCUCUUCCUUGCAUCUAAAGGCAUCCCUUUGAAUCUCCAGAGAGAACAUCUUAACCGCAUUCUUGAAUCAGUACCCAACGGUUCACUCCUUCCCCUUCUCGUUCUAACCAGCUCAAGCAAUGGAGAAACCGUGGGUCCUGAUACAAAUCUCGUCUCUGAGCUAGGCCUCCAUGAUAUCGACAAAUCAAAGAUAGCAAGCUUCACCGUCGUUUCUAUCGCUAAUAACUCCCAGAAGGGACAUGAAGUUCGUUUUUUCAGCGAUUCACGGCUAAGGGACGGACUCAAAUGGCUUGCGAGUAAUUCACCUCCGCAACCAAAUCUUCAGCACGUUAAACCGCGGGAACUUGUUCUGACGCAUUUAAGUUUUUCUCUAGAGUUGCUUAAGCAGAUGCGAGAUCAGGAAGUUUCUCCAUGCUGAUAAGGACUACAAAACAAAAUGCUCAAAACUUGUUCACAUGAAAAAGUCAAGAACCAUUGUGGAAGAUGUUUCUGCUCCAUCGAUAGAAGAAGAUGUUCCUGCUUCCUCUCCGUUGUCAUCCUUGUCGAUAGAAGCAAAUAAAGGAUAUCAACAGGAAACACCGCCUCCUCAAAGUCUUAAGAAACAAACAUCACUGCGUCUAGUUGAUAAAGAAAUGGCCGAUUCCAAGACUUCCCUCUUACUGGAGGAAGACAAGCCAGUGAAGACAUCUGUUAUAAAUCCAGUGCGGCCAUCUGAUGUAAAACCAGCAGUGGAUCAACAGAAAGGAAAUCACUUUACGCCGGCUGGUGAAUUUCAUUCUCCCCCGAAGUUCUAUUCUCCUGGAUUUCCUCAAGCUGAAUCCUUGAAUUUGAAGAAACAACCUAAUGACGGCCACACUAGUAUAUCUCCUGCGGAAAUUAAUUUUCCAUUUGCAGAGCAUAUGCAAACGAAUCUUGUGCCUGUACCUACUUUGCAACAAAGUCCGAAGUCUAUGCCUAUGGAGAAUGUGUCUGUAGCUACCAAAAUAGAGUCUCCAAG
rnacentral:lncRNA from 1 species